CCUUGGUCCUCUCGCAAUAAAUAGAGGUGAACCCCGCCAGGCCCGGAAGGGAGCAACGGUAGUCUCGAUUUUAUGUGCCGGGAUGCGGCUAAGGUGG
rfam:Rhizobiales bacterium TMED162 MHASMcontig_27871, whole genome shotgun sequence.